rnacentral:rRNA from 1 species
UACGUAGGUGGCAAGCGUUGUCCGGAAUUAUUGGGCGUAAAGCGCGCGCAGGUGGUUCCUUACGUCUGAUGUGAAAGCCCACGGCUCAACCGUGGAGGGUCAUUGGAAACUGGGGAACUUGAGUGCAGAAGAGGAAAGUGGAAUUCCAAGUGUAGCGGUGAAAUGCGUAGAGAUUUGGAGGAACACCAGUGGCGAAGGCGACUUUCUGGUCUGUAACUGACACUGAGGCGCGAAAGCGUGGGGAGCAAACAGG